AUUCCAGCUCCAAUAGCGUAUAUUAAUGUUGUUGCAGUUAAAAAGCUCGUAGUUGAAUUUCUGGUUAAAAUCUUAGCUGGCUUUGGUCGUUAAUGUUUUAAUCAUCCGUUAGAGAACUAUAACCGUCCUUAACUGGUCAUUAUAGAGAUCUAACAUUUUACUUUGAAAAAAUUAGAGUGUUCAAGGCAGGCAAUCGUCAUGAAUACUAUAGCAUGGAAUAAUGGAAUAGGACUUUGGUUCAUUUUAUCGGUUAUUGAACCUUAGUAAUGAUUAACAGGGACAGUUGGGGGUAUUCAUAUUUACAUGUCAGAGGUGAAAUUCUUGGAUUUUGGAAAGAUGAACUACUGCGAAGGCAUUUACCAAGGAUGUUUUCAUCA
rnacentral:rRNA from 1 species